rnacentral:rRNA from 1 species
CGCGUUGUCGGCGUGCCUCAACUACAUGCAAGUCUGAGCGGAGCUUUGAGAAGACUUGUCUUCUAAACUUAGCGGCGGACGGGUGAGUAACACGUGGGCAAUCCUGCCUUACAGACUGGGAUAACUCCGGGAAACCGAANCUAAUACCUGGAUGACCAAUGGGACCGCAUGGUCCGAUUGUAAAAGUUGGGAGCAAUCCUAACACUGUGAUAUGGGCCCGCUGCGCAUUAUCUAGUUGGUGGGGUAAUGGCCUACCAAGGCGACGAUGCGUACCGACCUGAGAGGGUGAUCGGCCACACUGGAACUGAGACACGGUCCAGACUCCUACGGGAGGCAGCAGUAGGGAAUCAUCCGCAAUGGGCGAAAGCCUGACGGUGCAACGCCGCGUGAACGAUGACGGUCUUCGGAUUGUAAAGUUCUGUUGUUAGGGAAGAACAAGUACCGUUCGAAUAGGGCGGUACCUUGACGGUACCUGACCAGAAAGCCCCGGCUAACUACGUGCCAGCAGCCGCGGUAAUACGUAGGGGGCAAGCGUUGUCCGGAAUUAUUGGGCGUAAAGCGCGCGCAGGUGGUCUCUUAAGUCUGAUGUGAAAGCCCACGGCUCAACCGUGGAGGGUCAUUGGAAACUGGGAGACUUGAGUGU